rnacentral:tRNA from 1 species
GCAGCCGUGGGCUACUGGUUAGGGCUUCGGAUUUGUAACCGGAUGGUUGCCGUUGGUUCGAACCCCGACCAGUAGGA